AGCAAUUAUGGUGGCUGCCUCAGCAUCAGAGACACAAGCUUUUCGAACUCUCUUCAAAAUUUCAGGCUUAAUUGCUCUCUUUUCCCUCUUCCUCAACCCUUCUCCAACCUCCAAUUGCACAGCAAACUUCGCCACACAGCUCGCAAAUGGAUGGCUCUCCAAGAACUUCUUCUCUCUGCUUUCUCUUCCUCCCUCUACCCCGCCGGCGGCCACCUCUCUACUCUCCUCCGCCGUGUGUUUCCCCAAACCGAUCAAAUCGCCGCCCAAUUCCG
rnacentral:misc_RNA from 1 species